rnacentral:rRNA from 1 species
GGCGUGCUUAACACAUGCAAGUCGAACGGGGUAUCAGGGUAGCAAUACCCGAAGUACCUAGUGGCGAACGGGCGCGUAACACGUGAGCAACCUACCCCAGAGCUUGGAAUAACACCGGGAAACCGGUGCUAAUACCGAAUACUCUCAUCGAGCCGCAUGACGCGAUGAGGAAAGAUUUAUCACUCUGGGACGGGCUCGCGGCCUAUCAGCUUGUUGGUGAGGUAACGGCUCACCAAGGCUACGACGGGUAGCUGGUCUGAGAGGACGAUCAGCCACACUGGGACUGAGACACGGCCCAGACUCCUACAGGAGGCAGCAGUGGGGAAUAUUGCGCAAUGGGCGAAAGCCUGACGCAGCAACGCCGCGUGGAGGAUGAAGGCUUUCGGGUUGUAAACUCCUUUCAGCAGGGACGAAACUGACGGUACCUGCAGAAGAAGCCCCGGCUAACUACGUGCCAGCAGCCGCGGUGAGACGUAGGGGGCAAGCGUUGUCCGGAUUUAUUGGGCGUAAAGAGCUCGUAGGCGGCUUGGCAAGUCGGAUGUGAAAUCUCCAGGCUUAACCUGGAGUCGCCAUCCGAUACUGCUAUGGCUAGAGUCCGGUAGAGGAUCGUGGAAUUCCUGGUGUAGCGGUGAAAUGCGCAGAUAUCAGGAGGAACACCAACGGCGAAGGCAGCGAUCUGGGCCGGUACUGACGCUGAGGAGCGAAAGCGUGGGGAGCGAACAGGAUUAGAUACCCUGGUAGUCCACGCCCUAAACGUUGGGCACUAGGUGUGGGGCCUAUUUCGACGGGUUCCGUGCCGUAGCUAACGCAUUAAGUGCCCCGCCUGGGGAGUACGGUCGCAAGGCUAAAACUCAAAGGAAUUGACGGGGGCCCGCACAAGCGGCGGAGCAUGCGGCUUAAUUCGAUGCAACGCGAAAAACCUCACCUGGGUUUGACAUGUAGGGAAAAGCUGCAGAGAUGCAGUGUCCUUUUAGGCCCUUCACAGGUGGUGCAUGGCUGUCGUCAGCUCGUGUCGUGAGAUGUUGGGUUAAGUCCCGCAACGAGCGCAACCCUUGCCCUAUGUUGCCAGCGGAUAAUGCCGGGGACUCGUAGGGGACUGCCGGAGUUAAUUCGGAGGAAGGUGGGGACGACGUCAAGUCAUCAUGCCCCUUACAUCCAGGGCUGCACGCAUGCUACAAUGGCCGGUACAAAGGGUCGCCAACCCGCGAGGGGGAGCCAAUCCCAGAAAGCCGGUCUCAGUUCGGAUCGCAGUCUGCAACUCGACUGCGUGAAGUCGGAGUCGCUAGUAAUCCCGAAUCAGCACGUCGGGGUGAAUACGUUCCCGGGCCUUGUACACACCGCCCGUCACACCACGAAAGUCGGCAACACCCGAAGCCGGUGGCCCAACCAGUAAUGGAGGGAGCCGUCGAAGGUGG